rnacentral:tRNA from 1 species
UCCAGGGUUGCCUAGUGGACAUGGCACCUGCCCGGUAAGCAGAAGGUUGUGGGUUCGAUUCCCGCCCCUGGAC